rnacentral:rRNA from 1 species
UACGUAGGGUGCAAGCGUUGUCCGGAAUUAUUGGGCGUAAAGAGCUCGUAGGCGGUUCGUCGCGUCGGCUGUGAAAACCUGAGGCUCAACCCCGAGCCUGCAGUCGAUACGGGCAGACUAGAGUGCUGUAGGGGAGACUGGAAUUCCUGGUGUAGCGGUGAAAUGCGCAGAUAUCAGGAGGAACACCGAUGGCGAAGGCAGGUCUCUGGGCAUUAACUGACGCUGAGGAGCGAAAGCAUGGGGGAGCGAACAGG